rnacentral:rRNA from 1 species
CAGCCGCCGCGGUAAUACGUAGGUGGCGAGCGUUGUCCGGAAUUAUUGGGCGUAAAGAGCGCGUAGGUGGCUUGUCAGGUCCGAUGUGAAAACCUGGGGCUCAACUCCAGGCCUGCAUCGGAAACCGGCUUGCUAGAGUCUGGGAGAGGAGAGUGGAAUUCCUGGUGUAGCGGUGAAAUGCGUAGAUAUCAGGAGGAACACCGGUAGCGAAGGCGGCUCUCUGGAACAGUACUGACGCUGAGGCGCGAAAGCUAGGGUAGCGAACAGGAUUAGAUACCCUGGUAGUCCUAGCCGUAAACGAUGGACACUAGGUGUCGGGGGUGUCGACUCCCUCGGUGCCGAAGCUAACGCAUUAAGUGUCCCGCCUGGGGAGUACGGCCGCAAGGCUAAAACUCAAAGGAAUUGACGGGGGCCCGCACAAGCAGUGGAGCAUGUGGUUUAAUUCGACGCAACGCGAAGAACCUUACCUGGGCUUGACAUGUACGUGGUAGGAAGCGGAAACGUGCCCGACCCCUCGGGGAGCGUACACAGGUGGUGCAUGGCC